ACCAACCAGGCGCGGACCUCGCAUCCCGCCGGUUUGUUUUUCACCCCGCCUCCUCGGUUUAUUUUAUCCGAACGUGGGUCAUUUGCAUCCGCCGGUUUCCCAUUUCCCGUUUCUCCUUCCGUUCUCGCCUCCCACUCGCCACCCGCCGCCGCCCGCGCCGGCGCCACUCGCCAUCCGCCGCCGGCGCCGCCGCCACUCGCUUUUCCCUGAUUCGGCGAUUCUGUGAUUCCGUCUCAUGCCCACCCUCAAUUUAUCUGAGGCGACGGCGGCAAGAUUCGCCGGGUGCUGCAUGGCGGCAGCCGGCAGGAGCUAGUUCUACAAUGCUAGAUCCACCCCAGGAGCUCAUCGGUUCUCUCCCUGCUCCGGCCCGGAGUACCUCUAGGUGGCGGCACGAUGUGGACGGCGGGGCCUCCUGGUGGCGGCGCCAUGGGUCUGGUGGCAUCCGGAGCUCCCUAGGUCCUGUGCGUUGUUCCAUGCAGGUCCACUCGUGCGGAUCCGGUGAGGGCAGGUACAGUAGCUCCCUGCUACGAUCUCCUCAUCGGGCGUUUUUUCAUUGGUAACAAUCUAGAGCGAGUGGAGUCUUACUGAAGAAUUUCAAGCACAAGCAGUAGCAUGCGCUGUCAAACUCUGCAUCUAACAGAAGCACUUUCUGCUUUGUGGCGUUGAGGCAACACAAGUGAUCACGAUUAUUGCAAAACUUUAUAAGGGGUUGGUCCUGGCCUCAAAAUAGUGAUAAUACUCUCUGCGAUCCAUUGUCUAUCUUGUAUGAAAGAAUCAGAAGCUUGUUCUCCUCAGGGUGUCUUGCGCGGUGCAGCGUUUGCAAGUGCAAGGCUUGCUGGUUCUUUUUACACAUUGUAAUGUUCAUUGCAUGCUCUAAUUGUUCUACAUUUGUAAUUUCUUGGUGAAGUUUGGUUACUGAUCCAAUGUUUGAUUAACUCUUGGGCCCAAACACUGUACUACUUCUGAUUAGAUAUCUGUAUCUUAACUUUGACCAAAAAAAAUAUCCGGCAGUUUUGCCAUUAAAGGUUCA